CGUACACUCCUACGGGAGGCAGCAGUGGGGAAUAUUGCACAAUGGGCGCAAGCCUGAUGCAGCCAUGCCGCGUGUAUGAAGAAGGCCUUCGGGUUGUAAAGUACUUUCAGCGGGGAGGAAGGCGAUAAGGUUAAUAACCUUGUCGAUUGACGUUACCCGCAGAAGAAGCACCGGCUAACUCCGUGCCAGCAGCCGCGGUAAUACGGAGGGUGCAAGCGUUAAUCGGAAUUACUGGGCGUAAAGCGCACGCAGGCGGUCUGUCAAGUCGGAUGUGAAAUCCCCGGGCUCAACCUGGGAACUGCAUUCGAAACUGGCAGGCUAGAGUCUUGUAGAGGGGGGUAGAAUUCCAGGUGUAGCGGUGAAAUGCGUAGAGAUCUGGAGGAAUACCGGUGGCGAAGGCGGCCCCCUGGACAAAGACUGACGCUCAGGUGCGAAAGCGUGGGGAGCAAACAGGAUUAGAUACCCGUGUAGCCCCA
rnacentral:rRNA from 1 species